rnacentral:rRNA from 1 species
GACGGGCCGCACAAGCGGUGGAGCAUGUGGUUAAUUCGACGCAACGCGAAGAACUUACCAGGCUUGACAUCCCCUGACCGCGUAUGAAAGUACGUUUUCACCCUCGGGUGACAGGGAGACAGGUGGUGCAUGGUUGUCGUCAGCUCGUGUCGUGAGAUGUUGGGUUAAGUCCCGCAACGAGCGCAACCCCUACGUUUAGUUGCUAACGCGUGAAGGCGAGCACUCUAGACGAACUGCCGUUGACAAAACGGAGGAAGGUGGGGAUGACGUCAAAUCAUCAUGCCCCUUAUGUUCUGGGCUACACACGUGCUACAAUGGCCGGUACAGACGGACGCAAAGCCGCGAGGUGGAGCAAAUCCUAAAAAGCCGGUCUCAGUUCGGAUUGCAGGCUGCAAUUCGCCUGCAUGAAGUCGGAAUCGCUAGUAAUCGCAGGUCAGCAUACUGCGGUGAAUACGUUCCCGGGCCUU